UAAGGUAACAGUAAGAAUAUGACUAUUAUGUGAAUGUGACUGUGCUUUGUAAAACAUUAUAAUCAACAGACAGUAGAAUCAUGAUUCUUAACAAAAACAGGAAAAAUAUGACUAUUAUGUGACUACGGGUUGUAUAACAAUGACUGAACAUGACGGUGGGAAUAUGACUAUUAUGUGACUAGGUUCUGCGUAAUGUGACUACAAGUAAUCAGCACUUGAAAAAACUUGCAAUAGCAAAAUACAUUGCAAAAAGAAAAAAAAUGACUAAAAAAAACAAAAAUAACUAAUGUGAUCUCCCAUCGAACAUGUUUUUUUGUUGCAGUAUCCAACUCAGUUGCACCGACUGCAAUUAAUCUUUCGUUUGAUCUUCUCUGUUAAAUAUGACUACAACGUUAAACAUAUGUAGCACUACAAAAAAAAAGGAGGAGGCGGCGGCAACGAACGGCGACGGUGAUAGUUGUGUACAAAUCUAACCCGAAACCCGAACAACAUGAAACACAAAAAAAAAAUAUAAAUCACAACUCUUAUCAUGCAAGUCAAUCCACAACUGUCAAUGCAUACAAAUGCAUAGAUACAUGCUCUAGGAUAAGAAAAAACAAAAACUCACAAAAAUUAAUAAAAUGCAUGAUAAUUCAAAUCUACGCAUUAUAACAAACCAAAUUAUAACCAUUGCGGUUUUACAGCAAUGCCAUUAUAAUUUUCAUGCUAUUAUAACCAUUUUACUAAAGAAAAAUUAAAAUAAAAUAAAAUAAUAUAACUAAAAAUUCAGAUCCAUAACAAGUUUUAUAGCAAAUUAAUUCGAGAAAAAAAAUUAUACCGAUUAAUUUGUAGAUAUUCAGCAAUUGCGGUUUUGGCAAAGGACGACGGCGGCGAUUUCGACGGAGGGCGGCGGCUGUGGUGAGAACAUGGGCGGCGUGGGGUAAUUUCUAGAUCUCCAUCGGUGUCCUGCCGCUAGUCCUUUGAAUCCUUAACCAUCUGUGAUUGUCUAUUCCUGCCGCCGGAAUCUUCUGUUGCCUCCUCGAUUUUUUAGUGGUGGAAAUAUUAGAUCUAGGAUUUGGGAGAUGAAGAACAGAGAAAAGAGAAAAAAAAGCAGAUGAGAACGAGAAUGACGAUAGGGAGCGGAAGAAAAAGAAUUAGGAUUUAGGGUUAUUGUGUUUGAGGGUACUUUUGUCUUAUCACAUAGGUUUUUUCU
rnacentral:lncRNA from 1 species